rnacentral:tRNA from 1 species
CGGGACGUAGUAUAGUGGUAGUAUACAUGCUUUGGGAGCAUGGGGUCCGGGUUCGAUUCCCGGCGUCCCGA